GGUAGAGUAACGCCAUGGUAAGGCGUAAGUCAUCGGUUCAAAUCCGAUAAAGGGCU
rnacentral:tRNA from 2 species